UACGUAGGGGGCGAGCGUUGUCCGGAUUUAUUGGGCGUAAAGCGCGCGCAGGCGGUUCGUUAAGUCCUAUGUGAAAGCUCCCGGCUCAACUGGGAGAGGUCUUCGGAUACUGGCGAACUCGAGGGAGGCAGAGGAAGGUGGAAUUCCGGGUGUAGUGGUGAAAUGCGUAGAGAUCCGGAGGAACACCAGUGGCGAAGGCGGCCUUCUGGGCCUUUCCUGACGCUGAGGCGCGAAAGCGUGGGGAGCGAACCGG
rnacentral:rRNA from 1 species